UUCAUAUUUCAUAGGAUGUCACAAGAGGAGUCAAGAGACCUUGCUGGGGUUCAUAAUAGAGGCGAUAUCUUUUAUUAGACCAAUUGCUUUUUCCUCUAGACCAGCCUGGACACUUGAUUUUCUUGGGAUUUUCCUGGAGGGUCGGGACGUACAUUUACCUGCUUAGACCUUAAUUACAACGAGGCAAGCCUCCUUCACUUUUAACGCCGCAUUUCACGACGCGCGCGCCUGCCACCCACGGCGCAGACAUCUCUUUAACGACAAAAAAAAGGACGGACGUCAGACACGCCAACCACAACCACGGUCAAAAACGAGGCAACGCCGUGAUACCGGCCGAGCGCGUGGUCCACAAUGAUGCGAGAGGCGAGGCUUUCUCAGGUGUCAUGGCAUCACAGCCACCCCACAGUACUACAUCCUAAAUCAUACUACUUGACCCGUGAGAGUGAUCAUCCUCAACCAUGAGUGAUCGCUGCCAACAAGUACUAAAUCAAAGAGCCAGCAGGUUGCUUUUUGAUAUGACAAGAACCUGCACAAGCCUGUGUCACUACCUCCAGCUACCUGAAAUGAAUAAUUUACAAGCAUUUCAUUUCUAAGGCAAGAGGAUUUGAUAGAGAGAAAAAAAGCCCAGCCCAAAGCCUUAUAUGCUCCUUGAAAUCUAAAAAGGUGGAUUUAUGUCAAACCUAGAGCUAGUUUGUGAAGGAUGGCGUAGAUAUAUUGUAAAGACUCUAUUUUGAGAUACCAACUAGGUGAGGGGGGUGGGAAGAACUUGCACCGCCACGAAGAAAGAAGAGCCCUUCCUCCAGCUGAAUUCACUGAUGGGUGAGGACGUUCUGCUCCGAUACGUGCUUACAGAAAGCGUGACAAGAAUGAGGCAGCUGGUGUGCUGAGCCCACUUGUCUGUCAUGCCAGCCCAUCACAUCUCUGUAUCCUUGGACUCCCAUGUCUGUAUCUACCCGCUGCCUCCUGUCUUUCGCUUCAGCUAUGAGCUCCUCUGGGCAGGGACUGGCUUUUGACUCUGUGUUGGUCUGGUACAAUGGGGUCUUGACCUGUUUCGAGGGCACCUGGGUGCUAUCAUGACACAAAUACUGCUCUUCACUUUCAGUUACAACACUUGAGAUGGAGUGGAAAGUUCAGGGUAAUAGGACUAAACACCCAAACCAAAUGAUACACUAGUAGAUAUGCUGGAGGGGAGGGCUAGGAUUCAGAGUGACUUAGACAUAUAGGAGCACUGGGCCAAAAGAAAUCUCACGAGGUUCAACAAAGACAAGUGCCAAGUCCUGCACUUAGG